CCUACGGGUGGCAGCAGUGGGGAAUAUUGGGCAAUGGGCGCAAGCCUGACCCAGCAACGCCGCGUGAAGGAAGAAGGCUUUCGGGUUGUAAACUUCUUUUCUCAGGGACGAAGCAAGUGACGGUACCUGAGGAAUAAGCCACGGCUAACUACGUGCCAGCAGCCGCGGUAAUACGUAGGUGGCAAGCGUUAUCCGGAUUUACUGGGUGUAAAGGGCGUGUAGGCGGGGACGCAAGUCAGAUGUGAAAACCAUGGGCUCAACCUGUGGCCUGCAUUUGAAACUGUGUUUCUUGAGUACUGGGGAGGCAGACGGAAUUCCGAGUGGAGCGGUGAAAAGGGUAGAAAUUAGGAGGGACACCAGGGGCGAAGGCGGUCUGCUGGACAGCAACUGACGCUGGGGCGCGAAAGCGUGGGGAGCAAACAGGAUUAGAUACCCCAGUAGUC
rnacentral:rRNA from 1 species